AAAAUAUUGCUGAAUCAGCAAACAACGUGCUUUUGAGAACUAGAGUCAAGACCAGAGUUAAUUCCAGAACAGUCAAGAAAGUGUAGUCUGUCUCUUUUGAAGCAUGGAGAAAGUGGUCAAACUAUUACCUGUAUUUGGAGGAAGCUUUGUCUAGUCCUAUAGUGGACCACAGUGACAUAGCCAGGACCAUGGAGAGAGACCAUUGCUGAGGAGAUCGAGUUCUUGGCCAAUCAGGAUAUAUGUACUGCCAACAUGUACACUACCUGAGGAUUUGUACCAACCAGGUGAGGUGGACUUUGACCCCAACGAGGAAGGCUUACUAGCGGACCUCCACCUAGCAACCAGCGGUAGCAACACACCCGGAGUGGAUCAGAUCAUUAUAGACAAUAAGAAACUUAUGCUGGAAAAGAGUGAAUUGUCUCUGGAACUGUACCAUCUCCUGGCUCAAGUGAGGGAACUUGAAUUCUUUCAGGAGUGAAUUGUCUCUGGAAAUGGACCAUCUCCUGGCUCAAGUUAGGGAACUUGAAUUAGACAAGGCAACUGUCGAGUCCUCAGCUUCCGCUCUGCAAGCAUAAAAGUCCCCAACCAAGGACCUGAACUUGUUUUGAGACUGUCGCACAUUUUGUCUGUUUUUGUGGUCUAUAUUCUCAUAAUGUAAUAUUUGUACGAACUCGUGCCAUUGAUUAUUUUGUACAAUUUGAUUAACUACACAAUCCUAACAAACAAUGAAAUUCUGUUGCAACAUAUCACGAUUGUCAAUUGUUAUUCAUAUACGUAUGUAUACCGUAUUUACUUGAUUAAACGCCCAUCUCGUUUAAACACCCCAUUGUAGGAAUUAUAUUUUGUCGAUGUAGUU